rnacentral:rRNA from 1 species
UACGAAGGGGGCUAGCGUUGCUCGGAAUCACUGGGCGUAAAGGGUGCGUAGGCGGGUCUUUAAGUCAGGGGUGAAAUCCUGGAGCUCAACUCCAGAACUGCCUUUGAUACUGAGGAUCUUGAGUUCGGGAGAGGUGAGUGGAACUGCGAGUGUAGAGGUGAAAUUCGUAGAUAUUCGCAAGAACACCAGUGGCGAAGGCGGCUCACUGGACCAUUACUGACGCUGAGGCACGAAAGCUAGGGGAGCAAACGGG